GAUGAACGCUGACAGAAUGCUUAACACAUGCAAGUCAACUGUGGCGGACGGGUGAGUAACGCGUAAAGAACUUGCCUCACAGAUAGGGACAACCUUUGGAAACGAAUGCUAAUACCUGAUACUGUGAGAGAGCUUUGCGUCCCAUUAGCUAGUUGGAGAGGUAACGGCUCACCAAGGCGAUGAUGGGUAGCCGGCCUGCGAGGGUGAUCGGCCACAAGGGGACUGAGACACGGCACUUACGACUACGGGAGGCAGGAGUGGGGAAUAAUGGACAAUGGACCAAAGUCUGAUCCAGCAAUUCGGUGUGCAAGAUGAAGUUUUCGGAAUGGAAAGUGCUUUCAGUUGGGAAGCGGUACCAACAGAAGAAGUGACGGCUAAAUACGUGCCAGCCGCCGCGGUAAUUC
rnacentral:rRNA from 1 species